GGCGAGUUACCCAAGUGGCCAAAGGGAGCUGACUGUAAAUCAGCCUGCAUCGCAUUCGGGGGUUCGAAUCCCUCACUCGCCA
rnacentral:tRNA from 1 species